rnacentral:rRNA from 1 species
CAGCAGUGGGGAAUAUUGCACAAUGGGCGCAAGCCUGAUGCAGCCAUGCCGCGUGUAUGAAGAAGGCCUUCGGGUUGUAAAGUACUUUCAGCAGUGAGGAAGGUGGGUAUGUUAAUACGCAUAUUCAUUUGACGUUAGCUGCAGAAGAAGCACCGGCUAACUCCCGUGCCAGCAGCCGCGGUAAUACGGAGGGUGCGAGCGUUAAUCGGAAUUACUGGGCGUAAAGCGCAUGCAGGUGGUUUGUUAAGUCAGAUGUGAAAGCCCGGGGCUCAACCUCGGAAUUGCAUUUGAAACUGGCAAACUAGAGUACUGUAGAGGGGGUAGAAUUUCAGGUGUAGCGGUGAAAUGCGUAGAGAUCUGAAGGAAUACCGGUGGCGAAGGCGGCCCCCUGGACAGAUACUGACACUCAGAUGCGAAAGCGUGGGGAGCAAACAGGAUUAGAUACCCUGGUAG